ACCAGCACGUUAUGGUGGGCACUCUAAGGAGACUGCCGGGUGACAAACCGGAGGAAGGUGGGGAUGACGUCAAGUCAUCAUGGCCCUUACGGCCUGGGCUACACACGUGCUACAAUGGUCGGUACAAAGGGUUGCCAAGCCGCGAGGUGGAGCUAAUCCCAUAAAACCGAUCGUAGUCCGGAUCGCAGUCUGCAACUCGACUGCGUGAAGUCGGAAUCGCUAGUAAUCGUGAAUCAGAAUGUCACGGUGAAUACGUUCCCGGGCCUU
rnacentral:rRNA from 1 species